GACGAACGCUGGCGGCGUGCCUAAUACAUGCAAGUCGAACGAACUCUGGUAUUGAUUGGUGCUUGCAUCAUGAUUUACAUUUGAGUGAGUGGCGAACUGGUGAGUAACACGUGGGAAACCUGCCCAGAAGCGGGGGAUAACACCUGGAAACAGAUGCUAAUACCGCAUAACAACUUGGACCGCAUGGUCUGAGUUUGAAAGAUGGCUUCGGCUAUCACUUUUGGAUGGUCCCGCGGCGUAUUAGCUAGAUGGUGGGGUAACGGCUCACCAUGGCAAUGAUACGUAGCCGACCUGAGAGGGUAAUCGGCCACAUUGGGACUGAGACACGGCCCAAACUCCUACGGGAGGCAGCAGUAGGGAAUCUUCCACAAUGGACGAAAGUCUGAUGGAGCAACGCCGCGUGAGUGAAGAAGGGUUUCGGCUCGUAAAACUCUGUUGUUAAAGAAGAACAUAUCUGAGAGUAACUGUUCAGGUAUUGACGGUAUUUAACCAGAAAGCCACGGCUAACUACGUGCCAGCAGCCGCGGUAAUACGUAGGUGGCAAGCGUUGUCCGGAUUUAUUGGGCGUAAAGCGAGCGCAGGCGGUUUUUUAAGUCUGAUGUGAAAGCCUUCGGCUCAACCGAAGAAGUGCAUCGGAAACUGGGAAACUUGAGUGCAGAAGAGGACAGUGGAACUCCAUGUGUAGCGGUGAAAUGCGUAGAUAUAUGGAAGAACGCCAGUGGCGAAGGCGGCUGUCUGGUCUGUAACUGACGCUGAGGCUCGAAAGUAUGGGUAGCAAACAGGAUUAGAUACCCUGGUAGUCCAUACCGUAAACGAUGAAUGCUAAGUGUUGGAGGGUUUCCGCCCUUCAGUGCUGCAGCUAACGCAUUAAGCAUUCCGCCUGGGGAGUACGGCCGCAAGGCUGAAACCCAAAGGAAUUGACGGGGGCCCGCACAAGCGGUGGAGCAUGUGGUUUAAUUCGAAGCUACGCGAAGAACCUUACCAGGUCUUGACAUACUAUGCAAAUCUAAGAGAUUAGACGUUCCCUUCGGGGACAUGGAUACAGGUGGUGCAUGGUUGUCGUCAGCUCGUGUCGUGAGAUGUUGGGUUAAGUCCCGCAACGAGCGCAACCCUUAUUAUCAGUUGCCAGCAUUAAGUUGGGCACUCUGGUGAGACUGCCGGUGACAAACCGGAGGAAGGUGGGGAUGACGUCAAAUCAUCAUGCCCCUUAUGACCUGGGCUACACACGUGCUACAAUGGAUGGUACAACGAGUUGCGAACUCGCGAGAGUAAGCUAAUCUCUUAAAGCCAUUCUCAGUUCGGAUUGUAGGCUGCAACUCGCCUACAUGAAGUCGGAAUCGCUAGUAAUCGCGGAUCAGCAUGCCGCGGUGAAUACGUUCCCGGGCCUUGUACACACCGCCCGUCACACUAUGAGAGUUUGUAACACCCAAAGUCGGUGGGGUAACCUUUUAGGAACCAGCCGCCUAAGGUGGGACAGAUGAUUAGGGUG
rnacentral:rRNA from 1 species